GUGCCAGCCGCCGCGGUAAUACGUAGAGGGCAAGCGUUGUCCGGAAUUACUGGGCGUAAAGCGUGCGCAGGCGGUUUUGUAAGUCAGAUGUGAGAUCCCCGGGCUCAACCUGGGAACUGCAUUUGAGACUGCAAGGCUAGAGUGUAGCAGAGGGGGGUAGAAUUCCACGUGUAGCAGUGAAAUGCGUAGAGAUGUGGAGGAAUACCGAUGGCGAAGGCAGCCCCCUGGGUUACUACUGACGCUCAUGCACGAAAGCGUGGGGAGCAAACAGGAUUAGAUACCCUGGUAGUCCACGCCCUAAACGAUGUCAACUAGAUGUUGGAAGGGUUAAACCUUUUAGUGUCGUAGCUAACGCGUGAAGUUGACCGCCUGGGGAGUACGGCCGCAAGGCUAAAACUUAAAUGAAUUGGCGG
rnacentral:rRNA from 1 species